CCUACGGGAGACAGCAGUGAGGAAUAUUGGUCAAUGGACGAGAGUCUGAACCAGCCAAGUAGCGUGAAGGAUGACUGCCCUAUGGGUUGUAAACUUCUUUUAUAUGGGAAUAAACUGUUCCACGUGUGGGAUUUUGUAUGUACCAUAUGAAUAAGGAUCGGCUAACUCCGUGCCAGCAGCCGCGGUAAUACGGAGGAUCCGAGCGUUAUCCGGAUUUAUUGGGUUUAAAGGGAGCGUAGGUGGAUUGUUAAGUCAGUUGUGAAAGUUUGCGGCUCAACCGUAAAAUUGCAGUUGAAACUGGCAGUCUGGAGUACAGUAGAGGUGGGCGGAAUUCGUGGUGUAGCGGUGAAAUGCUUAGAUAUCACGAAGAACUCCGAUUGCGAAGGCAGCUCACUGGACUGCAACUGACACUGAGGCUCGAAAGUGUGGGUAUCAAACAGGAUUAGAUACCCCUGUAGUC
rnacentral:rRNA from 1 species